rnacentral:lncRNA from 1 species
UCUUACUGUGUUCUUUUAUUAAAAAGUAUAAGAAAACUUACUAAAUUUGAGAAGCAGCUAUAACAUGUCUUUGAGUCUUGGAAUUUGCAAGCUACAUUGCCUCCCAGUUACUCGGAGCUAGCAAAUUAGAAUGCUCAGUAGCAUCCAUCUGACAGGAGGUGGCAGUUUCUCUUUAUAUCUGACGUCUGAGUGUAAUGAUGGAAGGUGCUCUUUACGUCCUUCCUUCAAUUUUGCAAGUCUGUAUAGAACUAGUAUAUUUCUUUCUGAAUAUUAAUGUUUGAUUCUCCAGUAAAGCUUUCCAUGGAAUAUAAGAAUAUGAUCAAAGUUCACUCUAUAGCUUGUACAACUAGUAUACAGUAAUAAAAACUUAAUUUGAGAGAUAGCUGUAGGUAGUCUAAAUAAAAAUAUACAAAGCAGAGACUGACAGUGUAUUUUUGAAACAUAUUCUGGGGCUGGUGGUACAAAACAGCAAAUGAUUGCUUGCCUUAAAAGCAGAGAUGAACCUGAGUCUGAUACCCAGAGCCCAUGUGAAAUAAAGGCCAGGCAUAGUAGUGCUCGCUUGUUAUGCUCAUGCUGUUGAGGGAGAUCUUCGAGCUACUGCCUUGUUUUGUAGGCCUCAAAAGAAGAUAGACAGUACUUGAAGAAUGGCAUUCAAAGUUGACCUCUGACUUUUGCAUGCAGAUAUGCUCAUGUGCACACAUGUGCCUGUGCUUACAAACAGCCAGGGCUACAGAGAAACCCUGUCUCGG